AGUACAGGGAAAUGCAGUGUCCCUGAUGAGGCCAGCUCUUGUACACACAGUCUCCUGCCCAGAGGGUGAAGAAAAUGAAGACACUCUUUCCGUGUGUUCUGACACAGUUGCUGAGGAUUUUACACCACCUGCCCCAGAAACUGAAGCCCUUUCUUCCUCAAUGGGCUAUAGAAGGAAUGUGAACAAGGUAAUGCUUUAAACACUUGACAUAAAUUAGUCACUCUUAUGUUUGUAAAAAGUCAUGCCACUUUUAAUGUUUUUUUUUGUUUUGUUUUUGUUUUUUUAAUAACCUCCAGAAGAGUUUUACUGACUGUUUGUGAUUUGAAUUGUUUCAGUCAGACUCAGUCAGGGCCCUUUACAAAAGAAACUGGACUGCACAUUGAAGGAG